AUGGAGUCCCACUUGAUCUCGCUCUCGCCCCCGGCGGUGCCGCCGUCGGAGCACCGCUCCUCGUCCUCCUCGCGGGCGCCGUCCUCGUCGUCGUCCUCGUACGCGCAGUCCUGGAACAUGAGGCUGGCCUUCUGCGACCCGGAGAACCGGACGCCCUUGAGGAUCUCGAGGCGGUGCUUGGCGACGGCGAUGCCCAUGCUCUUGAGCAGGUCGUGGUCGAAGUCCGGCGCGUCGCCCGGCUCCAGCUCGUUCUCGCUGAAGAGCAGCCCGUACUCGUACGUCGCCGCCGGCGUCAGCCCCGCCUUCGACAGCCACGCGUACCAGUCCAUCUCUCUCUCUCUCUCUCUCUCUCUCUCUCUCUCUACACACUCUAGCUAG
rnacentral:rRNA from 1 species